rnacentral:lncRNA from 12 species
CUCAUAGGAUGUGGCCUUUCCUUUAGAAAAUGCCACAGACUUCUGGCUCGUGUCUUAAAAAAAAGAGUGACUUUCUAACAUAUAUUCAGGUAAGUUUCUACAUUUGUUCCUCAGAUUUUAAAAGCCUAAUUUCCGAAGCUGACUUCUCAUUCUGAAGUCACUGGGCGUGCUCGAGUGUGUCCUCUGCGCCGCCCCGACGCGCCUCUGUGGAGCCGACGGAUGCCAUCAACAGUGGGCCCCGAGACUGCGGGCAAGCGACAGGGCCGGCUUCAAGGUUCUGGAUCCAGUGCCUUGCAGUCAUGCAGAGCUGCCCAUAAUGGUUAUUUAUGUGCUUGCAAAGCAACCACACCAUGAGAAGCCUUUGAUGCUAAUGGAGAAGCCCCCCUGCAUGUCAAGUAGCAAAAUGUCUAAGUUGCAAUUCAACGUGCUCCAGGAGCUCAGGUACUUUCAAGC